rnacentral:lncRNA from 1 species
GGAGAAGCUUGGAAAUACCACUAGAAUGCCUCCAAGAGGCUGAAAAAGCAGAAUGCGAGGAGGAAGAAUCUCAGAUUCUUUAUGGCAUUUAAAAUAAAGGCAGUGCAGUUUUUGAGCUGAAGGUUGUGAACUUCUGAGGUUGGAAAGAAUGAGUUUGCAUAAUGUCCCAGAGGCUUUGAAGUGCUGACUGAAAGCAAGCAAUUAACAGUAAGAGCAAUCAAAAUUAAAAACAAUAGAAAAGAAACAUUUGACAACAUAAUUAAGCUGUAAACAUGUAAAUAUUCUUAGACAUCUGUUCUUCAAAAUUAAAACUGUGUGAAUUACUUGGAAUACUGGAAGAAAAACAAAGACAUGAAAAAUGCUAUAGAGUGAAGCUCUUGAAUUAGGGAAGUGACUUAUAAGCACAGGCUGAUCUUUAGAGUCAAUCAGUUAUCUCCAUGACAGUGAAGGGCUGGAAGACUGAGCCACACAGUUAGGUGUCUCACCACAGCCUGGUGCCAAGGCUGGACACUCAUCAUAAACAAACAAACAAGAAUAUUUUUGUGGAAGUUAACUUCCUGCCCUAGUUGCACAGGCUGUGCUGAGGUUAUAAAGGCAAAUAUUUAUCAUUUGAUAAAAGGUUAUGAUCUGUUGACCUUGGAAUUACUCUUGCUUUCAAGUAAAGCAGAGCUCUUAAAAGCUGUUGUUACAAGCAGGCAGCCAAACUGCUCAAGCUUCCUGUGUAAUCUAUGACAAUUUUAUUUUUAUGUUCUCCAGAGGGCUGUGCCCUGGUGGUGGCUGGGAACUACAGAUCAUCUCGAGGGAUCCACUCAUCUGCUACAGCUUCAGAUGUCCCCACAGGGAUGGGCAUGGGGACAGGAAAGCCCUGCAGUCUUCCCAUCUUAUACGCAGGGAGGAGAUUUUGCCUAACUCAAGCCAAGUACCUUCCUUGCAAGACCAGGAGAUGUCUCUGUGAUGCAGAGGAAGCAAAAGGAACAAGACCAAGAACAGACUAUGCCCACAUCCCAGCUCCUGCCAGCUGA